AGGGCAUGGAGUUAGAGGAUCAAUAACUAAGUGACGGGAAACACAAAAUAUAUCUCCAUAGCUUAAGUGGUGGGGAUUGAAACAUAAAUGAAAAACAUCUAUAUACACCAUGCAUGUUCUCAUUUAAACUAAUGAGGUGAAAAGUACAAGCAAUACUAAUGAGGGAACUUUAGAUUGUAUGAUAUGAUAGAAGAUUAUCAAUUUGGUUUGGGGCCUUAGACAUAUGCGACGUGAUUGCCUAAAGAGGGACCUGGAGUUUGAAGUUAUCAACCAAAUUAAUGGAAAAAAGGAGUUGCGAUUAUUUUUGAAUUAUUGUUUAGAGGAAGAGAGAAAUAGAUUGAGUCUAUGUAUUGAUGUUUUUCUUUAAACUAUAUCCUAAUGUACUCUUGCAUUCUUAUUGUGCAUUGAAAUUUUUUUUUUUU